AUUGAACGCUGGCGGCAUGCUUUACACAUGCAAGUCGAACGGCAGCACGGGUGCUUGCACCUGGUGGCGAGUGGCGAACGGGUGAGUAAUACAUCGGAACAUGUCCUGUAGUGGGGGAUAGCCCGGCGAAAGCCGGAUUAAUAACGCAUACGAUCCACGGAUGAAAGCGGGGGACCUGCGGGCUUUGCGCUAUAGGGUUGGCCGGUGGCUGAUUAGCUAGUUGGUGGGGUAAAGGCCUACCAAGGCGACGAUCAGUAGCUGGUCUGAGAGGACGACCAGCCACACUGGGACUGAGACACGGCCCAGACUCCUACGGGAGGCAGCAGUGGGGAAUUUUGGACAAUGGGCGAAAGCCUGAUCCAGCAAUGCCGCGUGUGUGAAGAAGGCCUUCGGGUUGUAAAGCACUUUUGUCCGGAAAGAAAUCCUUGACUCUAAUACAGUCGGGGGAUGACGGUACCGGAAGAAUAAGCACCGGCUAACUACGUG
rnacentral:rRNA from 1 species